rnacentral:rRNA from 1 species
AUUGAACGCUGGCGGCAGGCCUAACACAUGCAAGUCGAGCGGAGCGGCGGAAGGGUGAGUAAUGCCUAGGAAUCUGCCUGGUAGUGGGGGAUAAGGUCGGGAAACGGGCGCUGAUACUGAAUACUAUUAGAAGAGGCUAGGUCGGAUUAGCUAGUUGGUGGGGUAAAGGCCGACCAAGGCGACGAUCAGUAACUGGGCUGAGAGGAUGAUCAGUCACACUGGAACUGAGACACGGUCCAGACUCCUACGGGAGGCAGCAGUGGGGAAUAUUGGACAAUGGGCGAAAGCCUGAUCCAGCCAUGCCGCGUGUGUGAAGAAGGUCUUCGGAUUGUAAAGCCCUUUAAGUUGGGAGGCGUUACCAACAGAAUAAGGACCGGCUAACUUCGUGCCAGCAGCCGCGGUAAUAC